rnacentral:snRNA from 2 species
AUACCUUUCUCGGCCUUUUGGCUAAGAUCAAGUGUAGUAUCUGUUCUUAUCAGUUUAAUAUCUGAUAUGUGGGCCAUCGGUCCACUCGAUAUUAAUCUUAUUUUUUAUGGGGAAAGGUCCAUCACAAUAGCUUGCUAUUGGGGCCUUUGAGCGUCGCCUUGGUGUUGCACUACUGCCUUGGCCUGGCGCACCCCUC